rnacentral:rRNA from 1 species
AGCCGGUAAUACCCGAAGUCAGUAGUCCAACCUCGUGAGGACGCUGCCGAAGGUAGGAUUGGCGACUGGGGUGAAGUCGUAACAAGGUAGC